GUCAUCUCUGAUGGCACAUUUUUUUUUUCGGUUGGCGAGUAUCCUGCGGCAGUCGGCUACUCCAGGUCAGCGCCUAAGCGUCAUAUACGAAGGCCGUUCUUCGUCAACUUCACAGAGGACGUUGUGGCGUAAUAAGUAGCAGCUUCAUGAUCUUCUCAAAUAAAGGCUUGGUUUUAUAAACAUGGGUCGCAUUAUUGCCUAAAAGUCCAAACCCAAAAGUCUAAUUUAAUAAAAAAAUCCAAAAACCCAAAUUGUCCACUUGAUUGAUCGUUAAGGAGCUUCCCAAUAAAGCAUUAGAAUAUUGGACUUUCUUUGUCAUCUUUUUUCCAGUUUGCAUUUGUUUGCUUUAUUUGCAAUGGCUAUUGGGUAAGUAGGUAAAGGUAUUUACAAAGAAAGUAAGUAUCGAGUUUUUCUCAAAAAUCGGCUCGAAGUAUUUUACCAUUAAAAGUACAUGGGUAAGUAAAGCAUUGGUAAGUUGGUGUAUUAACAAUAAGAUGCGAAGUAAAUAAUUGGUAAUAGGUAUAUUAUUAGGUUAUAUGUAUAUAAAAAAUACAUUGGUAAAGAAUGGUAAGUAAAACAUUGGUAAGUAGCCUAUAUUAAAAAUACAUUGGUAAGUAAAUAAUAUAAAUAAAUAAGUUUAUUUUUACGUCAUGUAAAUAUGUACAUAUAUUUCAGUAAAUAAAAUGUUGUUUUGACGAUUUAAAAAUAGUAAAUAAUUUGUAAGAGGUACAGUAAAUAAGUGUUUUAUAGCGGUAAGUCCCUUGGUAAUUAGAAAACAAAGAAAAACCAUUUAUUCUACACACAAUUACUAUGACUUCAGGUAAAGAUCUAAUAUGAACUUGUUUUGUAUUACAGAGAGGUCAACAGGUGUCGAAUACGACGAAUCUAUGCUAAGAUUAUUUCGAUUUCUUGAGAAAUUAUCACUAAAACCACAUAAAAUAACCAAACUAAAUAAGCCUAAAAUUCGUUAAAAUUAUAAAUGCUUUGUAAAUUGUAAACUAUGUUGGUAUUGCUGUCGAAAUGUUGUCAUAGGAGAUUGAUGUUCUAGAACUGUUUAUUUCGUUUGAUGGUUACGAUUAUCGGGGUAAAUGUAUGAACGUUUUACACUUAACUAGCGACCCGCUCCGGCUUCGCACGGGAUAACAGUAUUUCCCCACUAUUUAAUGUAUGUUAUUAUACAUACAAACCUUCCUCUUUAAUCACUCUAUCAAUUAAAAAAACCGCAUGAAAAUCGGUUGCGUAGUUUUAAAAUUUUUGGAGUACAAAGGGACAUAGGGACAGAAAAAGCGACUUUGUUUUAUAUUAUGUAGUGAUGUACCUACUCUGAAUGAAAUAUGUAGUGUAUAUACCCACCAUACUUAGUACCUAAUCAUUGCGUAUCAUUUGUGCCAAAAACUAAUUGAUUAUCGAGCACACGCAUCCCUCUACAUAACCGUAAUUGCAAUUAAUUUUUAGAGACUUGGAACUAAAAGCUUUAAUAUUUAUGCGAGGGAUUUUUUUAUGUUUCAGGUUAAUUUUAUUGAAAACUAUGCUCUGCGAAUCUGUAUUAUCAUUUAGCUAGAAUUCUGAGAGAUGAAUCUUCAGAUUAGGUACAGAAAUAUUGUAGUUUCCUGGAAUUCUAUCUAAAAGGCACUGUUGUUAUAUUUCUUAAGCGUUAAUUUUGUUUAUUUUUAUCGUAUUUGUAGAGGUAGGUUAUGUAACACCAUGGCGCACCAAGUUUAAAGGCACAAAAGACAAAGUACAUACACAAUUGGCAUUGCUAAGUUUUAUACUUAAUAUCCAAUCUUUCGUGGCUCCGGUUUGGACCACUGUUCAUUAAAAACAAUUCCCGCGAAGAAUCAUCAAAUCAUCUUUAUGAAUAAAAUAUAGUUAGUUACAUACAGAUACAGAAACACGGUUUGAAUUUAUUGUAUUUAGUGAGCAGUGGUGCAAAAUUACUAGCAUUUAAGCAAGCCGGCCCUUGCUUAAGUGCUGGUAAUUUUGGUUUUAUUUCAUAAAGGUAAUUUGGUUGGUAUUUUAUUAGAUAGGGGCCCGAACUGGCAAUCAUUGAAGGGAAACGAAGUACCAAUGGACGUGCUGGGUAACAACUGCUAUUUGAAUACAUUGAAAUUAAUGGGAGGAAUGCUUGCCUAAGCAAAUGGAAGUCAGGCCUAAACACAUCAGCGGGGCGCAGCAGGGCCAAGGUCUGCCGGAACUGCGGGAUUGUUCGAAACAGUUACCGCGGCCCUGAUACAUAAAAGGCCUACGACGGAACACGACGGUUUUUAGUCAGUAAGAGUCUGACACUCCCUCACCGCUGCUAACCCAGCGGGAGGAGUCAUUUGAUGAUUAUUGACGUCGUUAAAAAAAGACCUAAACACAUGAAAGCAAUAUCUAAACAAAUGAAUGCCUCAGCAAUUCGGGACAUCUAUACUAAACAUACCAAUAAACUAUAUACAACACCUUUAAAAUAACGAAAAAUAAGAAAAAAAUUGAAUCAGGUAGAAAACCUCGUGACAGAGAAGCCAAAUAAACUAUGUUUAUAACAAAUUCCAAAAACGUUACAAAUAUAAUGAAACAUUAAGAAGAAAAUGGAACAUUUUUUGCGUGACUACGAAACCAAGAAAACUAAGUUACAAAGUGUGCUGGUAAAGGACAAAACAUUAUAUUAUAAGUACGUACCUAUCACAGAAGCUGAAACGAUACCAAUUUACCAAUGUAUUUUUCAUUUAUAUUUUUAUUUAUGAAUUUGAUUAGAUAAUUACUUAUUUUGUUAUCUAUAAUUAUCAGUAGGUUUGACAUUCUCGGCUUUAUGUUGAUUUUGUUAGAGGUAUAUAGCCCGAACCUUUUGAUUGUACAUUGAAGUUAUAAAACGUUAAUUUCUGUGGUUCUUCUGUCGACAACGUUCUCUAACAUUAUUAAUUACGGUUUAAAUUAUAUUUAUUUGACUAUACUUAUAAAUAAUAGUUAUAUGUAGCUAUACACAAACUUGAAAAAAAAUCCUAUUCCAUGGACUCUAUGGAAUAUGGUUUUAAUGACAUAGACUAAAUGGGUCAAAAUGUACUUUAAUUCAAGAAAUGAUGAGCUCGAGAUUCGUUCUAUAUUAGGUACCUACGGGUCAAAAAAUAUUUUUUAUAAAGGUUUUUACACUUAGACAUAAAAAAAGAGUUAGUUGCACCAUUUAACUAUAACCCCGCACCCUUAUACUUACUUCCGUAAAAAUACGUAAGCAACUUCUGUAAUUGAAAAAAGUUUUAUCAAAUUACUAUAAGCGACCUACGAAGGGGUUAUGAAUUCUUAAAUAUAUAAGUUAUAUAAUUACUUAAGCUACUUACGUGAGUAAAAGUUACAAGUUUGGUCAAAUGGAUCAUUUGACAACCGAAAAUUUUCUGUUAUCGUUGUAGUUUAAUGGUGCUAACCAUCGUAAUAUUUUUUAUAUUUUACACUGUUAAAAUUUUUGAUGAAUAGUUAACAUAAUAGGGGUCUUGUGUACCAUACAAGUGAUUACUUAUACACGACUCCUGGCCAAGUUUUAGCCCUUUGGCGACUUGUAUAGGGCGACUGGUAAUUCAUCACCGAUACUUGAACACAUCUCAUCGGAGAAAUGAAAUUAAUUAUGCCUAACAAGUAAUUUCAGGUACAGAAAGUUGUUUGCUAUGGUGAUUAAGGUAUAAAAAAAAAUUAAUGGGGAAAAAAAUGUUUAUAAUCAUGAGUAGAAUCACGUUUUCAAAUACCGGUCAUUAAUUACCAGUUUUAUUUGUUUUUGUAUGUUUAUAUAUAUAUUUAGAUUAACUACGCUCUGAUAAUGCUGCGCGCAGACUGUGAUUGAACAUAUAUUUUGAAAAAUAUAUAAACUUUUGACUGAUGUUUAGAAGUUGUUACAAAGUAAAGAUAUUUUUGAUACUGAUGUAUUUUUAUGUUCGUUUUUAAUAUAAAACAGACCGUUUUAAGGGACGGCAUCUACAUGUGAUUUAUAUGUAAUCAUCACCUGCCUAGCCCUUUUGCUAAGCAGCUCGUGUUCGAUGACGAUAUUUUUAAAUAUACCUACAUUUUUGAUAUUGAUGUUUUUUAACCCCUUUUUAGUAAGCACGAAGUAAAGUUAAUUCAAGAAAAAUGAAUGGUUAUUCCUCUCUUAUUCCUUGGUGUAACUUUAUCAGUGUUUAUUAAUAAGAGGGCAAGUGUAUGUGAAAAGUUAAUUUUACACAAUAAAUAAUGUUAUUUACA